rnacentral:rRNA from 1 species
UAACAAGGAUUCCCCUAGUAACUGCGAGUGAAGCGGGAAAAGCUCAAAUUUAAAAUCUGGCGGUCUUUGGCCGUCCGAGUUGUAGUCUGGAGAAGUGCUUUCCGCGCUGGACCGUGUACAAGUCUCUUGGAACAGAGCGUCAUAGAGGGUGAGAAUCCCGUCUUUGACACGGACUACCAGUGCUUUGUGAUGCGCUCUCAAAGAGUCGAGUUGUUUGGGAAUGCAGCUCUAAAUGGGUGGUAAAUUCCAUCUAAAGCUAAAUAUUGGCGAGAGACCGAUAGCGAACAAGUACCGUGAGGGAAAGAUGAAAAGCACUUUGGAAAGAGAGUUAAACAGUACGUGAAAUUGCUGAAAGGGAAACGCUUGAAGUCAGUCGCGUUGGCCGGGACUCAGCCUUGCUUUUUGCUUGGUGCAUUUUCCGGUCGACGGGCCAGCAUCGAUUUUGACCGUCGGAAAAGGGCUAGGGAAAUGUGGCACCUUCGGGUGUGUUAUAGUCUCUAGUCGCAUGCGGCGGUUGGGAUCGAGGAACGCAGCGCGCCGCAAGGCAGGGGUUCGCCCACUUUCGCGCUUAGGAUGCUGGCAUAAUGGCUUUAAACGACCCGUCUUGAAACACGGACCAAGGAGUCUAACUUACCUGCGAGUGUUUGGGUGGAAAACCCGAGCGCGUAAUGAAAGUGAAAGUUGAGACCUCUGUCGUGGAGGGCAUCGACGCCCGGACCUGACGUUCUCUGACGGAUCCGCGGUAGAGCAUGUAUGUUGGGACCCGAAAGAUGGUGAACUAUGCCUGAAUAGGGUGAAGCCAGAGGAAACUCUGGUGGAGGCUCGUAGCGAUUCUGACGUGCAAAUCGAUCGUCAAAUUUGGG